CAUGAUUAUAAUUUAAGAACUGUCUGCUGCCAUUGCCUCCUGGUCUUCAUUACAUUGGGCUGUUACUCAUACGGGGAACCCAUAUGGGGAACAAAGUCAUGCCCUGGGUUUUCAGAGAAGCGACCCUAAAGGAACCCAAACACGAGGCAGAGCUCAGCUCAUUCAACCCACGUGACUCUGUGUGUGACAACUCCUCCCACUGUCACUGGACCAAACCAGGGGCCGUUGGGCUACCUGUGGGGUGACGGGCUGGGGAGGAGCCCCCAGGGCAAGCUCAAAUUUGAAUGUGAGGCCAAGGCUCUGUCAGACAGAGGCAGCACUGCCUGAGGCAAGAUCUCCUUGGCCAGGACUUCGGCAAGGCAGGCAGACACGCUGGAGGACACCAUGGACAGCCUCCUGAUGAAGCAGAAGAAGUUUCUCUACCACUUCAAAAACGUCCGCUGGGCCAAGGGGCGCCACGAAACCUACCUGUGCUACGUGGUGAAGCGGCGGGACAGCGCCACCUCCUUCUCCCUGGACUUCGGCCACCUGCGCAACAAGGUAGUGGUGCGGGCGGCGCCCGGGGCGAAGCAGAUGCGAGCCCUGGCUGCCGCGAGGGCCGCCGCGUGGGCCGCCGGCCGGGCCCUGCCAGCCCUUCCAGCCAUGGCACGACGCCCCCCCCCGCUCCCCUUCCCUGUCCACCGGACGGCACCCGUGUGGGGCGCGGCCGCGGGGGUCACGAAACAUCCUCCCCCGUCUAGCAGCCCACCUAACGCCACGGCUCCGAGUUGCCGUGAGAGUAAGAGUUUGGCUUGGGGGAACAUUAUCAGCUUGUUCAAGCUAGUUAUGUAUUUAUUUUCGCGGUCUGGGGACCAGGACUUAGCACAUGCUAUGUAAGCACUCUACCCAUGAGCUGUGUCCCCAACCCUCAAAGGGGGAAAAAAUUGUACCUUUAGAAUUUUUGAAAAUCAAGGAAGAAAAAUUUAGGAAAAAUUAUAGUGCCAGGCGUGGUGGUGCAUGCCUGUAAUCCCAGCACUCCGGGAAGCUGAGGCAGGAGGAUCACCACGAGUUUGAGGCCAGCCUGGGCUACAUAUUGAGUUCAAGGCCAGUCUGAACUGCAUAGUGAGACUCUGUCUCAUAAAACACAGAAAAGGAAAGAAAGAAAGAGAAAAAUUACAGUGACUCAGGGUCUUCCAGAUGAUUUCUGUUCCUUACUACUCUCACAGAUCAUAGGCAGUGAACGUGUUCAACAUGGUGAGGCCAGAAAACUCUAAGAAGCCAGGGUUGAUCGGUUAAUGUUUUGUUUUUGAGACAGGGUCUUUCUAUGUAGAUCAGUCUGGCCUUGAACUCACUAUGUAAUGCAGGCUGGCCUGGAACUCGCAGCGAUCCUCCUGCCUCAGCCUCCUCCGUGCGCCACCAGUCAGGCUCUGAUCAGUUAACAAACUCAGUCUUCGAGGUGCCUGAAUAAAUGGCACUUCCCAGGCUCUCCCCAAAUCCAGAUGGGCUUGCAUAAGCGCCUGUGACUGUCCCCUGUCCAUGUGCGGUGACAUCCGGCCUUGGUGGCAGCCGGAGCUGGGUCGGGGGCGGAGUGUCACUCUUACCUAGCCGGUGAUUUUCUUCACCUGCGUUUGUGCUGAGUAGCUCACCUCACCAUCCCACGCUGCCCUCCGACCUCCGUCCUAAUCGGUGAGGAUACUCGCUACCCAGCGGCUCUGCACCUCCCGAGCACCUGCCCUGAGCUCUCGUGUGACGCGCACAGCACGGCUCAUCUUGCCCACGGGGAAAUCGAGGCACCAAGCUGGCAGCGGGGCCAGAAACGCGGCUGCGUCCCAGCCUCCGGCGCGCGGCCCGCCCUGGGAGGUGGCUGUCGGAGCUCGCGCCGCAGUCAGCCCUUCAGGCCCGCGCAGGGCAGCGCUCAUUGCACCAACGGCCGAGCUGGGCCUCGACGGCCCCGGGCGGGGCGGAACCGCGUUCCCUU
rnacentral:lncRNA from 1 species